rnacentral:rRNA from 1 species
GACGGAAGGUGCAAGCGUUGCUCGGAAUCACUGGGCGUAAAGGGUGCGUAGGCGGCUUCUUAAGUCUGGUGUGAAAGCCCAGGGCUCAGCUCUGGAAGUGCACUAGAUACUGGGAAGCUUGAGUACCGGAGGGGAGAGUGGAAUUCCUGGUGUAGCGGUGAAAUGCGUAGAUAUCGGAAGGAACAUCAGUGGCGAAAGCGGCUUCCUGGACCAGUACCGGACGUUCAGGCACGAAAGCGUGGGGAGCAAACAGG